rnacentral:rRNA from 1 species
AUGGAAGGGCUCCUCCACUGGGACUUCAACCCCGGCCUUAAGGUCGAGGACCAGGUUCGUAGGCGCUUCAGAUCCACGGUCCAUUUCUCCCCGGAUUCUUCCUCCAAGGAAUUUUUCUUGGCGGCCACGUUCUCUUCUGCAUCUUAUCCCUUGACAUGUGCUUCGGUUGGUUUGGCCUUACAAUGUUGCAUUGGA